rnacentral:rRNA from 1 species
CGUAGGGUGCAAGCGUUAAUCGGAACUACUGGGCGUAAAGCGUGCGCAGGCGGCUUUGCAAGACAGAUGUGAAAUCCCCGGGCUCAACCUGGGAACUGCAUUUGUGACUGCAUGGCUCGAGUGCGGCAGAGGGGGAUGGAAUUCCGCGUGUAGCAGUGAAAUGCGUAGAUAUGCGGAGGAACACCGAUGGCGAAGGCAAUCCCCUGGGCCUGCACUGACGCUCAUGCACGAAAGCGUGGGGAGCAAACAGGAUUAGAUACCCUGGUAGUCCACGCCCUAAACGAUGUCAACUGGUUGUUGGACGGCUUGCUGUUCAGUAACGAAGCUAACGCGUGAAGUUGACCGCCUGGGGAGUACGGCCGCAAGGUUG